CUUGUGGGGAAUGUUGUCUGGUUCAAGGAGAUAACAUUAUCUUUACAACAUAUGAUAUAUAUAUAUAAUAUUCGCCGAUUGAAUAAUCGAUUUUAUGUUAUGACUUAGUGUUUCCUCGGACCAGGCUUCAUUCCUCUCAAU